GCUUUCUCCACGAGGUCAGAGUCGUGGGGUCAGCGAGCGUCAUCCGGGCGGCAACCUGGGUGGCGCUCUUUUAUAUGU
rnacentral:antisense_RNA from 1 species